AGCAGCCGCGGUAAUUCCAGCUCCAAUAACGUAUAUUAAAGUUGUUGCAGUUAAAAAGCUCGUAGUUGAAUUUCGGGGUUAGUAGGUUGGUCAUGCCUCUGGUAUGUACUGGUCUCACUGAUUCCUCCUUCCUGAUGAGCCGUAAUGCCAUUAAUUUGGUGUUGCGGGGAAUUUGGACUGUUACUUUGAAAAAAUUAGAGUGUUUAAAGCAAGCUAACGCUUGAAUACAUUAGCAUGGAAUAAUGAAAUAGGACGUUCGAUCCUAUUUUGUUGGUUUCUAGGAUUGACGUAAUGAUUAAUAGGGAUAGUUGGGGGCAUUAGUAUUCAAUUGUCAGAGGUGAAAUUCUUGGAUUUAUUGAAGACUAACUACUGCGAAAGCAUUUGCCAAGGAUGUUUUCAUUAAUCAAGAACGAAAGUUAGGGGAUCGAAGACGAUCAGAUACCGUCGUAG
rnacentral:rRNA from 1 species